GCCCUUGAGGCGUGGCUUCCGGAGCUAACGCGUUAAAUCGACCGCCUGGGGAGUACGGCCGCAAGGUUAAAACUCAAAUGAAUUGACGGGGGCCCGCACAAGCGGUGGAGCAUGUGGUUUAAUUCGAUGCAACGCGAAGAACCUUACCUACUCUUGACAUCCAGAGAACUUGGCAGAGAUGCCUUGGUGCCUUCGGGAACUCUGAGACAGGUGCUGCAUGGCUGUCGUCAGCUCGUGUUGUGAAAUGUUGGGUUAAGUCCCGCAACGAGCGCAACCCUUAUCCUUUGUUGCCAGCGAUUCGGUCGGGAACUCAAAGGAGACUGCCGGUGAUAAACCGGAGGAAGGUGGGGAUGACGUCAAGUCAUCAUGGCCCUUACGAGUAGGGCUACACACGUGCUACAAUGGCGUAUACAAAGAGAAGCGACCUCGCGAGAGCAAGCGGACCUCAUAAAGUACGUCGUAGUCCGGAUUGGAGUCUGCAACUCGACUCCAUGAAGUCGGAAUCGCUAGUAAUCGUAGAUCAGAAUGCUACGGUGAAUACGUUCCCGGGCCUUGUACACACCGCCCGUCACACCAUGGGAGUGGGUUGCAAAAGAAGU
rnacentral:rRNA from 1 species